GUUUAUAUGAUUUUCUAGUAGACUUACUAGUAACUUACUUACGGUAGGAAGAUCCAAAUUAAGGAAAGAUCCGUUAUCCGGAAAACCCCAGGUCCUGAGUAUUGUGGAUAACAGGUCCCAUAUCUGCAUUAUAGUAUAAUCCAGGAGAUAUGAAACAAAGCUAUUCAAGUAGAAUGAAGAAUAUCUGUGUUGUCCAUGUGAAAUUAAUAAAAUAUGAUUACGGCCAAAAACAAAUGUGACAAUACAGAACUCCUAGUUAUAAACUCAUAGCACAUUAUUGAUUCAGACAGGGGAUGGUGCUAUCUUUGGCAAUUUGAUAUGAAUAUGGCCCAGACCCAGUUCAGGUUUGGAACUGGCCAAUCUGCUUGCAGUGUCAUACUUUAUAAUUGGUGCUUCCACUCCUACACACUAGGUGCUACUUCACAUCAUGAUCCUGCCUCUUCUGUAUAGGUAAAAAGGGAAUAAAACGGAAUUGCUCUAAUGAGCAGUGAGACGUUUUCCCUGUGUCUCCCAUAAAACUAUGGCAGCAUAGGUAUUCCCUGUACUAAGCACAAUUCAGCAGGAACAGACCCUAAGUUUGCUCACAGUCUGUACAGAGAGAUCCCAUAAAACUAUGGCAGCAUAGCUAAGCUCAUGCAUAGCUCUAACUCUGUAUUUAGCACUGAACCUAUAGUAGUGUAGCAGGGAGCAUGGUGUCAGUGACAAUAUAUAUCAGGGUUGUGCAACCUAUAUUUUCCAGCUGAUGCUGAACUACUCCUUGCGUCCAGUACAUGUUUUGUACAUGAAUUUAAAUGUUAUGUGUACAUGAUAUUUUUGUACAUAUUACAGGUAAAUAAUAUUAUUCUUGUUUUUACUGAUUAUCUUUUUAACUGUGCCCUAUUCAACUUCCCUUCUGCUAGGGAAGCAUAUUGCAGUUUAUAUGCCAAAUCUUAGAGACUUACCUGUAAUUGCAAAAACAAAUAUGAAAACAUUAAAGGCUAAAUAAAAAGUGUUUUAGAACA